UACGGAGGGGGCUAGCGUUGUUCGGAGUUACUGGGCGUAAAGCGCACGUAGGCGGCUUUGUAAGUUAGAGGUGAAAGCCCAGGGCUUAACCCUGGAAUUGCCUUUAAGACUGCAUCGCUAGAAUCGUGGAGAGGUGAGUGGAAUUCCGAGUGUAGAGGUGAAAUUCGUAGAUAUUGGGAGGAACACCAGUGGCGAAGGCGGCUCACUGGACCGGAACUGACGCUGAGGCGCGAAAGCGUGGGGAGCAAACGGG
rnacentral:rRNA from 1 species